UAUGUAGGCCUAUCAAUAUAUUUUAUUAUUUUUCUUAAUUGCAUUAUUAAAAAGGUUCUACAAACUCAGAACUGCUCAGUCGAAUCUGACAAAUAAUCCUCUUAUCAGGGGACAGAUGAAAAGUUCCAGGCUCUUUUUUUUAUCCAGAUGCUGCAGUCAAUACAGAGGGAGAUGACCUAACUUCUCUUCUCAUUCAGAAGCACUCAGGAGUACAGGUGCUCCUGAGAAGAGGAACACGGCAGCCUUCUGAUCUCAUAAAUCUUCAAAGACAACCUGAGCAUGUGAAACCUCUACAUCAUGCUUUCUUAAUCAUUUCCAUCUAAACAGAGGAUCCCUGGUAGGGGGAGCCGCCUGUCGAGAUCCACUCAACACAUCAGAUGAUAGGGACGGCUUAUGUGGUUUCCAGAUGCCUUGGCGGAGUGCACGAGCUUCAGCGGAGGGGAUAAGCAGGUGGCUGAGUGGAUGAAGUGCACACUGGUGGUGGGGGUGUUUGCGCCAUGGUAGGCAGUCGGUCACGUUGCGGCCAUGUGAGGCACCGUAUCCCUGACCUCCUACCGCCAUGCUGAAUGGAUACUGAUGAUGUUCCAGACUGAUGCCUCAUUAUGCGCAGACGCAGAAGCAGCGGAAUCCGGAAGGGCGGCUUAAGUGCCGGGCUUGCCGGCGCGAUUAUUUAAACGGCGUUGGGAGGCGGCUGCUCCCAACACCGACUUAAUGUGUUUUAGCAUCAGCGUCAGUUUUGUCGACGGCGGAUUUGGAGAUUGAUUAAACCUACAUGCAGCA